rnacentral:rRNA from 1 species
UACGUAGGGUGCAAGCGUUGUCCGGAAUUAUUGGGCGUAAAGAGCUCGUAGGCGGCUUGUCACGUCGACUGUGAAAACCCGGGGCUCAACUCCGGGCCUGCAGUCGAUACGGGCUGGCUUGAGUGCGGUAGGGGAGACUGGAAUUCCUGGUGUAGCGGUGAAAUGCGCAGAUAUCAGGAGGAACACCGGUGGCGAAGGCGGCUUGCUGGGCCAGUUCUGACGCUGAGGAGCGAAAGCGUGGGGAGCGAACAGG